rnacentral:rRNA from 1 species
UACGAAGGGGGCUAGCGUUGCUCGGAAUUACUGGGCGUAAAGGGCGCGUAGGCGGCACUGUUAGUCAGGCGUGAAAUUCCUGGGCUCAACCUGGGGACUGCGCUUGAUACGGCUGAGCUUGAGGAUGGAAGAGGGUCGCGGAAUUCCCAGUGUAGAGGUGAAAUUCGUAGAUAUUGGGAAGAACACCGGUGGCGAAGGCGGCGACCUGGUCCAUUACUGACGCUGAGGCGCGACAGCGUGGGGAGCAAACAGG